UUAAUGGAGAGUUUGAUCCUGGCUCAGGACGAACGCUGGCGGCGUGCCUAAUACAUGCAAGUCGAGCGGGGUUAGUUAGAAGCUUGCUUCUAACUAACCUAGCGGCGGACGGGUGAGUAACACGUAGGCAACCUGCCCACAAGACAGGGAUAACUACCGGAAACGGUAGCUAAUACCCGAUACAUCCUU
rnacentral:rRNA from 1 species